UACCAGCACCCCGAGUGGUCGGGACGUUUAUUGGGCCUAAAGCAUCCGUAGCCGGUUCUACAAGUCUUCCGUUAAAUCCAACUGCUUAACAGGUGGGCUGCGGAAGAUACUAUAGAGCUAGGAGGCGGGAGAGGCAAGCGGUACUCGAUGGGUAGGGGUAAAAUCCGUUGAUCCAUUGAAGACCACCAGUGGCGAAGGCGGCUUGCCAGAACGCGCUCGACGGUGAGGGAUGAAAGCUGAGGGAGCAAACCGG
rnacentral:rRNA from 1 species